GGCUGUUAUGGUAGGGUGAGCAGUAAGGGAGUGUUUGGAUGAGUGCACUGACAUGGUGAAAUAUUAGGAUGGGAUCACUAACACGCAGUUUAACGCUGUAAGCAAUUUCAACCGUUGAUUUAGUUUAAUUUGAAAGCUUCGAUGAAAAGUCUUUUUUUAGUAAGAAUCAGAUUCGGUAACUCGGGUUUAGAACAUACUGAACAACAACUACUUGUGUCGGAAUUAGGUGAUAAUUUCUAUGAUGAGUUCUUGGUUUAGAAGUUUAGUUUGAUGUGGUGAGUGAGAUUGGAAUUAGAUUAGAUAGUUUGUUUAUUUAUAAAUGAACAAAGAUUAUGUUCACUUUCUUGUCAAAGGGGUUUCCUUACAAUGUUUCUUGUCAAAGGGGUUUCCUUACAAUGUUUCUUGUCAAAUGGGAAAGAUUAUGAUAUUGAUAUUCAGUUUUGAAUUUUUCAACCAUUUUAUUAUUAUCUGUUAGAAAAAUGUGGGUCUCCACCAUGGCAACAUCUCUAUUAUUAGAGGAGGAACUUUUUCCAACCCAAAAUCAAUUCGAUGUACACAUUCGAGAAGAUAAAAAAAAACACAAUUUUUGUGCCGUUUGAAUAUGUAUUUAUGAACAAAAAUACUAUCGUCUAAAAAUAUGCUUUCAGAGUUUUUUUAGAUAUGAGGGUAGACAAAGUUGUCUUCUUAGUUAGAGAGCUAUCAAGUUUGACCCGACCUAACGCCAACAGACUAGUUUGACUCUACCUCAUCCCUUUUUGCAAUUGCUGGCUUUGAAUCUGAUAUAUGUCAUAUCAUUAUUUGACUAAUCUCAAAGUUUUAUUUUUCUUUGUAGACAAAGUGACAAAUACCACUGAAACUGAUACACACACUGCGAGGUCUUGGGUUUGAACUCGAGUGAAGGCAUCCACCAUAACAAAUAUCGGCAUUGCCAUUUGAGCUAGGACUUAUGGACGAUUGAUCUCAGAGUUAUGAUGUGGUAAUAUAUAUGAUCUAGUUUGUUAUUUGGUGAUUAUUAUACAUAGACAUGAUAAGAGCAAGAUAGUUAUAUAUCACUUUCUCUAUUCUUGAGCACAAAAGAGAAUGCUUAUUUUAAUUUUUUCCUUAUAGUUUUUAUCAUCACUACAUAUUAUUCAUCCAAAGAUAAGAUUAUCUAGUUUUUACUUUCCAAAUUAAACAUUUAACAUUAUAGUUUUUGGAUUGGUAUAGUAAGAUUGAUGAAUAUACCUGCAACUUUUGGCCUUGUAGCAUCUCAGCUUCAAGUUCAUCAAAAGAUCUGUACAGAAUAUUGAAAAUCAGAUAUAAGUAAUCAACUAUUUUUAUUUUCAAUUAAAAAUUAUAGAAAAAAGAGAAAGAAACACAACAAAAACAAACCUCUUCCCUCCAUUCUUUGCAUAAGCCUCAGCAACUUUCCUGUUUCUUCCACCCACUGCCACAGAUAAUACGGUUUGAAUGAAACUAAGCAACAAAUUAUUGGAAAAUACAUUUAUUUAAUCUAGUAAAAAUUUCAAGCAGUCGCUGCAUCAAUAAACUUUGGUCGUUGGAUGAAGAUUGAACGGUUGAAAUUAGUAGUUUAAACUAUGAAGCACCAACACUCAAUUUGAAAGCCUGUCUGACAUGACACAGACGCAUAAUUAUAUUCAGAUGCUUCUAUAGCAUAUUCUCCAUUUAGUCGCCGGUGUCUGUCAUAUUUGAUGUUAUGUAUGUGCCAGUGGUUUAUAGAUUUUAAAGAUUUCUGAUGUCAAAGUAUGAAUUUUCUGAUCUUCAUCCAACAAUCGAGAUUUGUUGAUUGUAGCGACUACGACUACGAGGUUUC
rnacentral:lncRNA from 1 species